rnacentral:lncRNA from 1 species
CCGUGCUGACACCAGCCCAACAAAUUAAAAACAGAUACAUUAGUACAAUUGAUUUUAGCUGUUGAAUCUCAAGCGGAACAGCUUAAAAUUGGAAAAAUAUAAAUAAAAAUAGAAAUUUAGUAAUAUACACAAGAUUCUUGGAUCAUUGAAUUUCUCAGACUGAUUGCAAGUUACAAGUAACAGCUCGCGUGUAUCAAUACCAUUUCAUGCCAGAAUACAACGCUGUAACCUGCAAAUACAGAAACAUUGAUUAGUAAAACAUAGCCAAAGAGCACAAAUAAAUUUACGCUUUUCAUGGUUCAUAUAAAUAUAUAUAUAUAAAAUAAGAUCUCAAAUCAGUUUUACAUGUUCAUAUUCAAUAAUUCCUAACUUUUCAUUAGGCUACAACACGAAAUAACAACAAUCUCUAGAGAUUUAUGGAGGAGGAGAGCUUGAAUUUCAACAGUGUUGCAUUCGCAUACAAUGGAUAUAGGAGCAGAAAAUCUCAAAUGAAGAUAUACAUAAAAAAGAGUAAUAAAUAUUUCAUUUUUCAUGUUCUUUGAGAGAAAAGACCUCCACAGAAAAUCAAUAUUGCGAGAGAAGUUACCUGUAAUGAUGGUGGCAGGAGCAAGUAGUGGCAAUUCUUCAAGGAAAAUUUGAACCAAGUAAUAUUGGCCAGCCCUUCAGAUUUAUGGUUGAGUUGGAUGUUUCCUAUAAGUGGAAAAAAAUCCCAAAACGAAAAAUUAUACAUCAACUUUGAUGCAUCUGAAAAUAGUAGCAUUGAAAAAUAGAUAUGAGAACUUCUGGGGAAAAAACCUAAAAAGGAAGAUACAAUCAGUAAUCACAACAAAAAAAUUAAAGGUUUUGCAGAAAAUCUCAAAAAAAUCAUGUAUUAAAUGAAGAUCGAGAAAUGCAUAAAAAAUGAAAGACGAUGAUUUGAGAAGAUAAUGAAAGUUGCAAGUGUUCUUUAGAAAUUAAAAAAAAUUAUAAGAGUUGCGGAAUUCUUCUCAACGUAGACAUAAAGUAGUAUAAAACAUGCAACACAAAUAUGGUAAUUGCAAAAUUAUAAUCAUCAUAUUUGUCCUAAAAGAAGAUCUCAAUAGAUCUACGGGACAAGAACUAUAGAAAGAAUGACAGUUGGAAAUGGAAAGUGGAAGCUAGGUAUUGUGGUUAUAUUGGUGGGGCAUUAAACUACAGGAUGAUAGAGGAAUGUAACGAUCCAGAAAAAUAAAUAAAUAAAUAAAAUAAUGAGUACUUAAGGUAAUUUAAUUAUUAAUUAAAAAUCUGAAAUUUUAACGGCAUAAUGGUCUUUUCGCGCAUUAAUUAAAAUAAAACCAAAUUUGUAUUAAUUUAAUUUAAAUUCUAUUUGACUAAGUUUUGAAUUUAGUCUCCUAAUCCUAUUAGUUUUCUCUCUCUCACGCUUCUUAACUCUCUCUCUCUCUCUCUCUCUCACGUUCUCCAUCUUUCUCACGUUAUUCUGCCAAGCACAACAAAAACAAGAGAUUAUAUCAACAGUUCUUCAGGCUUGAAGAACUCACAUGAAAUUUUAAGAAAAAAAAAGCAACAAAAAACAUUAAGGCGAAGAGAAGUUGUUCGUUGAGUGGUGUGGACGUUGAGGUAACUUGGACUGAUUUUUGAAGAGAGUUUUGGGUAGAAAAUUCUUCAUUUGAACAUCAAUAAAGGUAUGGGUUUCUUCUCUCUUGGUUCCUUUCCCAAGAGGCCCCUUACGAUUCAAACUAUUCAUCUCGAAACUAAGGUUGUUCCCUGUUGCUUGCCCUUGUCACUAGCUCCCUAUGAUCUUAGGUUGGGUAUUCUUGUUGGUAGAAUUUAGGGAUACUUGUUUGUGGUGAUGAUCUCGUUUCGAGUAUGUGUCCAUGACUAUGUAUCUAUAAUUUGUGUCUUAUGGGAAUAUGAAAGUAAAUAUGUAUGUAUUUGUGCAAGAUUUUGAUCAUGACUUUGAGUUUUUCUUUAGCAUGUUAAUAGUAUAGAGAUUAUUCGUGUUUUAUGUGCAAUUAGAGGCUCUUAAAAACCAUGAUAUUCACAUGAUUGAAAAUGCUAGAAAUUCUAGUUAAAACAUAUGAUCAAAUCAUCCCUCUAAACUUGCUUAAGAACCUUAACAAAUGUACAAAAAAAAAUGCUAAAUUAACCCGUAAAAAUGAUGCACAAAAUUGUGGAGUAAUUUUCCAGAAUCUGGAGAUAAGUUGUAGAUGAAUUCUGGAAAUUUUGAACAAAAAAAGAAUAAAAAAUAAAUAGGUGAGGUCUGCAGGGAUCGAACCCGAGACCUCACCAAAACAUGCCUUAAUAAAAUAAAUAAAGAGGAGUGCUGAAGGCGGGGCUCGAACCAGGGACAGGGGGCUGGUGAAAUUCGCAAAGAGAAAAAGAAUGCGGUAGGGGGGAGUUGAACUCGCAACCUAGGGGGAGGAAAAGGAGAAAAAUAAAGUAAAUAAAUAAAUGGGAGGCGUGGGGUUCGAACCCACGACCUCCCAGUACGCUCGAGGAAGGAAAAAAAAUAAAAUUGAAGUUGCAAGGCGUGGGGAUCGAACCCACGACCUCAGUGCUGAAGGGGGGGGUCCGAAAUAUUAAGGAAAUAAAGUGAGGUUGUGGGGAUUCGAUCCCACAAUCUCACUGCCACUCGCCCUUAUUAUAUAAAAAUAAAGAUGGAGGGGCUGUGGGGGUUCGAGCCCACCACCUCACAGUCCCCCCUCAGCGAAAUUGAAACAAAAAUAAGGGGGGUUGUGGGGGUUCGGACCCACAACCUCCCCAUAAUAGUGAAUUUAAUUAAAUUAAAAAGUUAAGAGGUUGUGGGGGCUUGAACCCCCAACCCUUCGGUUAAUUAAUAGUAAAAUUUAAAAUAGAAAAUUUAUCCCUUCAUGUAAAUAUUGAGAUUUAAUUUAGAAUUCUUAUUAAAAUAGAAAAUUUAUUUCUUUCAUGUAAAUGUUGAGAUUUAGUUUAGAAUUCUAAUUAAAAUAGAAAAUUAUUUCUUUCAUGUAAAUAUGGAGAUUUAAUUUAGAAUUCUAAUUAAAAUAGAAAAUUAAUUCUUUUAUGUAAAUAUUGAGAUUUAAUUUAGAAUUCUAAUUAAAAUAGAAAAUUUAUUUCCUUAGAAUCCCAAUUAAAAUAGAAAAUUAAUUAUUUUAUGAAAAUGUCGAGAUUUAAUUUAAAAAAUUCUAAUGUUAUGAGUAUUAGAAAUAAAAUAAACGAAAAAUAUAAAUGAUAUCCAAGUGAUUCAAAAUUUAGGUUCCCGUGCCCAAACCUCCAUAUUGAUACAUAAGUUAUACGUAAGUAAAAUAUUCAAGAAUAAUGCCAUCUACUUAGAUCAACAAUCAAGAUUUUGACAUAUAUGCAAGAUACAUAAGUCUUGCAAUACAUAAUCUUAUGAAAGUAAGAAUCACUUAGCGGACUAUGAAUGAAGCCCAAUGGCUUGUUUGUAUAGACACAUAAGUCUAACAUACCUUCAAAAAUUAAAUGAACCUAAGAUGUACGUAAUGAAAUGAUGAAUCUUAGGAGGGUUAAGUACGAAUGUAAGAUACGCUAAAUGGCCAAGUGCAUUGGCAUAUGAUGAGAUGAAUAAUGAAAUGAAGAAAUGAACAUUCACGUAAUAAGAGGUGAGUAAAUAUGAAAAAACAAAGGUGCCAAUAAUGAAGAAUGUGGUGACAAUCAUGAUGUGAGGCUAAUGUAUAUGAUGAGAACAAUCUCAAAUGAGCCUAAGUAAAAUGUUACCAAUACGUACUCACCAAUGAGAGUGUAAGAUAAUGAAGAGAUCAGUCUCUAUGAACACUUUAAUGAAAAUAUUGAAUUUAAAACACUUAAUACUAAUGAUGAGAUGAGAAAUCAUCUAUUGAGCUAUGAUGUCCUCAUACUAGAAGCCAUUUUCCAUGAUGUAUGAGUUGAAUGCAAUGGAACUUUAUACCAACACCGAUAGGCUAGCUAUGAGCGGUGAUGCCUUCUUUCGGAAAGAGUAGAGGUUUACGUAACUCUCAUGAGAUGAGACUGUCCGGCUUGCUGAGUAUGGGUCUCCAUACAUCUCCUAGUCUUUGAACCUAUAUUGCCACUAUAGGAAUCUGGCGGGGUUAAAUUCCCAUAUACGCUAGCAUGUUAUUGAUUCACUUUGGUCGGUGAUUCCACCUCUUUUCGGUGUGGGGGAGACAAUGGAUUUCAUUAUGCUCACAUGAUCUAUGUCGGUUAAAGUUAAGGUUCCCAAUGAAUGAAUGAGGCCAAUCUCAAAUGAAUCAUAUAAAGAAAUGGAUGAUACCGAAGGUGUUAGGAUAGGAUAAUCAAGAGGUGAGCUAGAUUCAGGUAAUGAAAAUAGGUUAUUCCUGAUCAUUGUACAGCAAACCUGAUGAAAGUCUUAAACUACAUCCUAGGUAUAGCUGGUGUUCACACUGGCUUAUGAAUGAACUGAAAUGAGGUACGCAUGAAUGAAUGAAGCAGACUUUAUGUUUGCUAAAGAAGGCUCCCUAGUUGAGGUCCCAUAUGUUGAGCCCUCAUUUUGGAAUAUCUUAAUGUCAAGUCCAUGAUAACAAGGUCUCAUGGCAUAUGAAUGAAUAAUAUGAAAGAAACUAUGUGUUAUAUGUUAUAUGCUAUAUGAAGAUGUUAUGUGUUGUGUGUAGUACGAUAAUUAUAAUGAUGCAUGUCACUCUCAUGGUAUAACUUUCCCAAUCUCAAAUUGGCAAGUCCACUGACUUGACUUCCAAAAAUCAUGUUUUUUGGAAAGAGAGAUUCUUUCUCAUGCAUGUCCCUGGUGUGUGCUUGCAUAUACCCAUACUUAGUACAAAUGUGUACUAAUUCCAUACAAACAUCUACUUUACAUGCAGGCACAGGUGGGCGGUAUAGCUACAGGUUCGUUGUUGCAGCUAUUCGGACGUCAGCAUUCAUCCAGAGUUUGGUAGGUCCUCAUGCUUUCGAGGAUUCUACUGUUUUACAUUCUAGCUUAGUUUUAGAGUUGAGCUAGUGGAGCAUGUUCCACUAGUGUUUCUUUCCUAUUUUGGCUCAGACUUUGUAUUGGUGCUACUUUGACCGAUAUACAAUUAAUACUUAAUGAAUUAUUUCUGUUAGUUGCUUAUCUCUUAAAUGUUAGGUGGUUGAUGAUGAACGAUUAUGAAAUAUAAAGAAUGUUUAGCAAGUAUGAUUAAAGAAUCAAAAAUUUUAUUUUUUUUGCUAAAUUAACUUACGUAAAGUAAGAAUGACGUAAGUAGGCUUGUUUGCGACCUCUGAGAGGUCAACGAUGCCGGUCUCAUAUGGGGGUAUAGGUUCUGAUCGUGACAAGGAAGAAGGUGAGUUAAAGAUCAAGAAAUAUACCUAGAGUUUUCUAAAGUAAUGAUGCUAAUUUUUUAUUAAUAAGGUUGUUCGAUUUGAUAAGUAAGCCUCAACCUCUAGCUACUCCCUCUGUUUAAUUUUAGUAGAUUUUUAGAUCAAAAAUAAAUAUUCCAUCGUUCAAUUUAGCAAAAGUUAGAAUAGUAAUCUAAGCUAGGAGUGGAUCCUUUUAAAGUUUAAGUAGUUCACUUAAGGAAGCAUGAAUAUAAGUGAAAGAAGUAAAGCGAAGAAUCUAAGUGACAACAAUCAAAGAAAGCCGAAGAACAGGACAAACAAAAGGGAAGGAAAUUCAACGCAUGAAUAAUCACAAUAUGGUACAGGAAUAAUGAUAAGUAGCUAGUGUAAUGAUAGUAGACAAACAUUUGAAAUAUACUAUUAAAAUUGGUAGAACAACUUCAUUAUUUUUCUAGAUACUCAUCUCUAAAUCUCAAAAGAAGUCAGUGAUCUAACUUUAAAUAAUUGGCAACAGAAGGAUGCAUUACCUAUGAAGUAUUAAAUUAAUCAUUUCCUUCUUGAUUUUAUGCCUAUCCUUCCCGCAGACUUGUAUUAAUAAGCUGAACUCAUAUCUACGUUCUACUUGUUUGUAGAUCACUCCCUCUACCAAGAGGUAAAACCUUCUAUCCUUAUUUAUGUCAAUGUACAUCCCAAAAACAGCUUUUGAUACUUAUCAGAUUCAAACUCUAUCGAGCCAUACAACUAAAUUUAAAUCAAAGCUUUAUAAAUUUAUUCAGACAAAUCUAGAAAAAGGCGGUAGCAAAUUGAACAUAAAAAGAAAAUUGAGGGAAAAACAUAUGAAGAUAUGCGAAAUCUACAGGCAAAUGUAGAGACGUGCAUGAGAAAAAUUGAGCGUCAAAAGAUAGUGGAGGAAAAACAGAAAACUAUGAAAUCAAAUCUGAAAAACCAAGAGCAAAACAGAGAGAUGACAAAGAGUUACCCUUGAAAUUGCAAAAGCCAACAUGAUCACUCUAAAUAAACUGAGUCGCACAUAUUAUCAAACAGGUUGGGUGCAUAAAAUUAACAACAUACCCUUGAUUAUAGGAUUCCUUCUGCACAAUCAACUUGGAUAAUUUUAUCCCAAAAUUAAGCGGAAUACAGAAUAAACAGUGUGUCAACUUUGUCGAAUCAGAGGUCUAUGGCAAGUAUAUGAUAAUAUUACGAAAAUUAUGGCAAAACAAUCCCACAUAAUAUAGAUACGAAAAAACAACAAUUAUCUUGAAAAAUACAAAAAGAGGCAAAAUCCCUGAAAAAGUUCACCAUUAUUGUUGGGGAGCUCCAAUUUCCGCCCCAAACUCUUCUUGUCUAACACCAAAAUAGUUGAGAAAAUCAGAAAACAAAGAUGCCUGACAAAUUCUUGUUAACAAAAAAAAAUAAUUAACAUUUGAACAAGAUCUCAAGGUGUAUUCUAUGUCAAUUGUCAAGUGAGGACAACUGGAAAACAUAGCAAUUGUUCUUUAAAGUUCUAAAGAGCAAAGAGAAGAAGAAAUAUAUGUGGUGUCUGUAGAUUUUAAAGAAACGUGGAAUGAGAAUUCUUUAAAUUAAAAAGUAAGACUAAUAUACCAUCUAAUGUGAAUUUAAUUCCAAGAAACUGACAGGUUGAUACCAGCUCCUUCACUCAUACUUCUAAUAUAGGAGAAUGACUUAUAUCAGUAAAAAUCAGAUCCUACUUGGUUAUCAAUCUCUCCCCUAAAAAACAUGUUUUUUUUUUGUCCAUGCACGAAGAAAAUAUUUU